rnacentral:rRNA from 1 species
CCCUGCCAUUUGUACACACCGCCCGUCGCUACUACCGAUUGAAUGGUUUAGUGAGACUUUUGGAUUGUGUUUGAUGGACUGGCAACGGACCAUCAUGUAACGAGAAGUUAGUCAAACUUGAUCAUUUAGAGGAAGUAAAAGUCGUAACAA